rnacentral:rRNA from 1 species
GGGAUUGCCUCAGUAACGGCGAGUGAAGCGGCAACAGCUCAAAUUUGAAAUCUGGCCCCUUCGGGGUCCGAGUUGUAAUUUGUAGAGAGUGCUUCGGGUGAGACUGCGGUCUAAGUCCAUUGGAACAUGGCGUCCCAGAGGGUGAGAAUCCCGUAUGUGACCGCGGCUCGAGCCCAUGUGAAGCCUCUUCGACGAGUCGAGUUGUUUGGGAAUGCAGCUCUAAAUGGGUGGUAAAUUUCAUCUAAAGCUAAAUACUGGCUGGAGACCGAUAGCGCACAAGUAGAGUGAUCGAAAGAUGAAAAGCACUUUGGAAAGAGGGUUAAACAGUACGUGAAAUUGUUGAAAGGGAAGCGCUGGCAACCAGACCUGUCCGUAGGCGAUCACCCGUUGUUCUCAGCGGUGCACUCGUUCUGCGAUCAGGCCAGCAUCGGUUCGGGCGGGCGGAUAAAGGUCUUGGGAAUGUAGCUUCCCUCUCGGGGGAGUCUUAUAGCCCUCGAUGCAAUGCGCCCAGCCGGGACCGAGGACCGCGCUUCGGCUAGGAUGCUGGCGUAAUGGUUGUCAGCGACCCGUCUUGAAACACGGACCAAGGAGUCUAACAUUUAUGCGAGUGUUUGGGUGUCAAACCCAUGCGCGAAAUGAAAGUGAACGGAGGUGAGAACCCUUAAGGGCGCAUCAUCGACCGAUCCAGAUGUCUUCGGAUGGAUUUGAGUAUGAGCA